GACGGAGGAUGCAAGUGUUAUCCGGAAUCACUGGGCGUAAAGCGUCUGUAGGUGGUUUAAAAAGUCCACUGUUAAAGAUUGAAGCUUAACUUCAAAAAUGCCGUGGAAACUUUUAAACUUGAGUAUGAUAGGGGUAGAGGGAAUUUCCAGUGGAGCGGUGAAAUGCGUAGAUAUUGGAAAGACCACCAAUGGCGAAGGCACUCUACUGGGCCAUUACUGACGCUGAGGUGCGAAAGCGUGGGGAGCAAACAGG
rnacentral:rRNA from 1 species